rnacentral:rRNA from 1 species
GAGUUUGAUCAUGGCUCAGAUUGAACGCUGGCGGCAGGCCUAACACAUGCAAGUCGAACGGUAGCACAGAGAGCUUGCUCUCGGGUGACGAGUGGCGGACGGGUGAGUAAUGUCUGGGAAACUGCCUGAUGGAGGGGGAUAACUACUGGAAACGGUGGCUAAUACCGCAUAACGUCGCAAGACCAAAGAGGGGGACCUUCGGGCCUCUUGCCAUCAGAUGUGCCCAGAUGGGAUUAGCUUGUUGGUGAGGUAACGGCUCACCAAGGCGACGAUCCCUAGCUGGUCUGAGAGGAUGACCAGCCACACUGGAACUGAGACACGGUCCAGACUCCUACGGGAGGCAGCAGUGGGGAAUAUUGCACAAUGGGCGCAAGCCUGAUGCAGCCAUGCCGCGUGUAUGAAGAAGGCCUUCGGGUUGUAAAGUACUUUCAGCGGGGAGGAAGGUGUUGUGGUUAAUAACCGCAGCAAUUGACGUUACCCGCAGAAGAAGCACCGGCUAACUCCGUGCCAGCAGCCGCGGUAAUACGGAGGGUGCAAGCGUUAAUCGGAAUUACUGGGCGUAAAGCGCACGCAGGCGGUCUGUCAAGUCGGAUGUGAAAUCCCCGGGCUCAACCUGGGAACUGCAUUCGAAACUGGCAGGCUUGAGUCUUGUAGAGGGGGGUAGAAUUCCAGGUGUAGCGGUGAAAUGCGUAGAGAUCUGGAGGAAUACCGGUGGCGAAGGCGGCCCCCUGGACAAAGACUGACGCUCAGGUGCGAAAGCGUGGGGAGCAAACAGGAUUAGAUACCCUGGUAGUCCACGCCGUAAACGAUGUCUACUUGGAGGUUGUGCCCUUGAGGCGUGGCUUCCGGAGCUAACGCGUUAAGUAGACCGCCUGGGGAGUACGGCCGCAAGGUUAAAACUCAAAUGAAUUGACGGGGGCCCGCACAAGCGGUGGAGCAUGUGGUUUAAUUCGAUGCAACGCGAAGAACCUUACCUGGUCUUGACAUCCACAGAAGAAUCCAGAGAUGGAUUUGUGCCUUCGGGAACUGUGAGACAGGUGCUGCAUGGCUGUCGUCAGCUCGUGUUGUGAAAUGUUGGGUUAAGUCCCGCAACGAGCGCAACCCUUAUCCUUUGUUGCCAGCGGUCCGGCCGGGAACUCAAAGGAGACUGCCAGUGAUAAACUGGAGGAAGGUGGGGAUGACGUCAAGUCAUCAUGGCCCUUACGACCAGGGCUACACACGUGCUACAAUGGCGCAUACAAAGAGAAGCGACCUCGCGAGAGCAAGCGGACCUCAUAAAGUGCGUCGUAGUCCGGAUUGGAGUCUGCAACUCGACUCCAUGAAGUCGGAAUCGCUAGUAAUCGUGGAUCAGAAUGCCACGGUGAAUACGUUCCCGGGCCUUGUACACACCGCCCGUCACACCAUGGGAGUGGGUUGCAAAAGAAGUAGGUAGCUUAACCUUCGGGAGGGCGCUUACCACUUUGUGAUUCAUGACUGGGGUGAAGUCGUAACAAGGUAACCGUAGGGGAACCUGC